GGGCCCAUAGCUCAGUUGGUAGAGCAUUUCCAUGGCAUGGAAGGGGUCAGGAGUUCGAGUCUCCUUGGGUCCA
rnacentral:tRNA from 1 species